UGACUCUAAAGGAGACCUGACAGCCUUCCUUCUCUGGUCCUCCUUUCCUGAAAGUCAAUUUAUUGAUGACAGUCAAAUAUUAAAAGUUAAGAUGGAAGAAAUAAAAGCCAUUUCCUCACUUCAGAGAAACCAGCAAGUAUCCCCAGAAGAUGGCAGGGUGAGAGAGGAAACAGAGAAAAGCAACUGCGGAGAGAGGACAAACUUUGUACAUGAAGCUGAAGUGAAAGAAGUGUGGUCUUCUAUGAUGUGACCUUUGAACUCCAAGAAAACUACCCUGGGGACGUAGAGGAGGUAUAAUUUCCCAUCAACCAUUAAGAAAGCAUUCCAUUUUUCUCACAGUAGUGUAAAUGUGUCUUUUACACUUCCCUUGCCUGAAAGAACAUUUAGUUAUUCUUCAUGUAAGCUUUUU
rnacentral:lncRNA from 1 species